UUCCAGGUAUGUUUUCUGUUAAGACCUUUGUGUAUGUCUAAUUUCGCCUUUUCUUUUUUUCUAGCAGGGCGCGACGCAGAUUGAGGAUUCCCAGGUAUGUUUUCUGUUAAGACCUUUGUGUAUGUCUAAUGUUGUCUUUUCUUUUUUUCUAGCAGGGCGCGACACAGAUUGAGGAUUUAGGUAUGUUUUCUGUUAAGACCUUUGUGUAUGUCUAAUGGUUCCUUUUUUUUUCCUUUAGGUCGUGUGGACUUUUUUUUUUUUUUGCAGGGCGCGACGCAGAUUGAGGAUUUAGGUAUGUUUUCUGUUAAGACCUUUGUGUAUGUCUAAUGUUGUCUUUUCUUUUUUUCUAGCAGGGCGCGACACAGAUUGAGGAUUUUCAGGUAUGUUUUCUGUUAAGACCUUUGUGUAUGUCUAAUGUUGCCUUUUCUUUUUUUCUAGCAGGGUGCGUUGCAGAUUGAAGAUUUUCAGGUAUGUUUUCUGUUAAGGCCUUUGUGUUUGUCUAAUGGUUCCUUUUUUUUUCCUUUAGGUCGUGUGGCCUAUGCUACAUUUGCUGGUAUGUUUUUUGUUAAGGCCUAUGUGUAUGUUUAAUGUUGCCUUUUCUUUUUUUCUGGAAGAGCACGACGCAGAUUGAAGAUUCGCAGGUAUGUUUUCUGUUAAGACCUUUGUGUAUGUCUAAUGUUGUGUUUUCUUUUUUUCUAGCAGGGCGCGACGCAGAUUGAGGAUUUCAGGUAUGUUUUCUGUUAAGACCUUUGUGUAUGUCUAAUGUUGUCUUUUCUUUUUUUCUAGCAGGGCGCGACGCAGAUUGAGGAAUUCCAGGUAUGUUUUCUGUUAAGACCUUUGUGUAUGUCUAAUGUUGCCUUUUCUUUUUUUCUGGCAGGGCGCGACGCAGAUUGAGAUUCGCAGGUAUGUUUUCUGUUAAGACCUUUGUGUAUGUCUAAUGGUUCUUUUUUUUUUCCUUUAGGUCGUGUGGCCUUUUUUUUUUUGCAGGGCGCGACGCAGAUUGAGGAUUUUCCAGGUAUGUUUUCUGUUAAGACCUUUGUGUAUGUCUAAUGUUGCCUUUUCUUUUUUUCUGGCAGGGCGCGACGCAGAUUGAGGAUUUUCAGGUAUGUUAUCUGUUAAGACCUUGGUGUACGUCUAAUGUUGCCUUUUCUUUUUUUCUGGCAGGGCGCGACACAGAUUGGAGAUUCGCAGGUAUGUUUUCCGUUAAGGCCUUUGUGUAUGUCUAAUGUCGCCUUUUCCUUUUUUCUAGCAGGGCGAGACGCAGAUUGAGGAUUUUCAGGUAUGUUUUCUGGUAAGGCCUUUGUGUAUGUCUAAUGUCGCCUUUUCUUUUUUUCUAGCAGGGCGCGACGCAGAUUGAGGAUUUUCAGGUAUGUUUUCUGUUAAGACCUUUGUGUAUGUUUAAUGUUGCCUUUUCUUUUUUUCUGGCAGGGCACGACGCAGAUUGAGGAUUUUCAGGUAUGUUUUCUGUUAAGGUUUUUGUGUAUGUCUAAUGUCGCCUUUUCUUUUUCUGGCAGGGCGCGACGCAGAUUAAGGAAUUCCCAGGUAUGUUUUCUGUUAAGACCUUUGUGUAUGUCUAAUGUUGUCCUUUUCUUUUUUUCUAGCAGGGCGCGACGCAGAUUGAGAUUCCAGGUAUGUUUUCUGUUAAGGCCUUUGUGUAUGUCUAAUGUCGCCUUUUCUUUUUUUCUAGCAGGGCGCGACGCAGAUUGAGGAAUUCAGGUAUGUUUUCUGUUAAGACCUUUGUGUAUGUCUAAUGGUUCUUUUUUUUUCCUUUAGGUCGUGUGGCCUUUUUUUUUUGCAGGGCGCGACGCAGAUUGAGGAUUCCCAGGUAUGUUUUCUGUUAAGACCUUUGUGUAUGUCUAAUUGUCGCCUUUUCUUUUUU
rnacentral:lncRNA from 1 species